AAAAGUUAUUCUUGCACACCCUGGCAUGUGUAAAUGCAGGCUGUGAAAUAUCUUUUUCUAACUGUAGUUUCUCAUCUAUUGGAAGAUAACGACACAUUCUCGUUUUAUAUGGUC